UCAGAUCCGCGAUUCCUGUUCAGAGCUCCAAGGUUGCAUUUUCAUGGCAUCUUGAGAAGAGGCAAGACCUUGAAGGUUGGAAUUUUGAUCUUAUAGAUCGAUUUCUCUUUGCAGAAACUCCAGAUCCAUCUUCUGAACUCCUUUGUCUUUCCUUUUUUGAGAUUUUUAAUGAGUUUGGGCACUCGAUCUCUGCUUGUAAGCCUUAUCGUUCGAAGAUCUAGUCGUUUUAGAUGGAAAUACUCGACCAUCGGGUGACUGGUUUCUAGAUCGUUGAAAUCUUCAGUUAGACAUAACCGCUGUCAAUAGUUUACCUAGUUUCAUACUUAAUCUAAUUAGUUGAAUCUCCUAUCCUCCGAGAAGCAGUAGGCUUAACUGAGGGUUUUUGGUUAGCAGUGUAAGUCUUCAGGUUUGAAUCUUCUGCCGCGGAGAGUCAGUCAUCUUAACUGAAGUUUAAGCCUUUGAUUUGCUAUAGACAGGCGAGCUAGGCCUCUUUUUUACUUUUGGCCUUCUCCCGUAUGGUUUACGGUGUUUAAAGGCUAAUACGGUGUUUUUGACCUUUUUUGAACCGUAAAUCUUGGUCAAGUUUGGUGGAACCACUGAUACGUGCAAAUGGAGACACUUGUUGUUGUUGUGCAGCAUCGGAAUCAGUACUAUAGCAGGGGAAAUUCUGGUGGUCUUGGUGGAUUUGGUUCUUCUCCAUCCAGAAGCUUCAGUGAAAUCAAUUGUAGAACUUUUCAAUCUGGAGGAGGUAUUCUACCUACCCCCUGGACACCCUCUAACAGUCCUGGUGCGAUUGAAAAGGCUUGUUCUUCACCCCGAACUCCACCCCAUGACAACUUUAGAAUUGAAGAAGAGAAGCAGUUGAAAAUUAAUGGAAAAAGCAGUUCCGUUCCUAUCAACAUCAAGGCCACAAAGGUUGAAAGGUCUUUUAGCGAUGAUCUAUCUUACUCUGAGCUCUGGGCAGGGCCAACUUAUUCGUACUCACCUCCUCCUAGUUCAUUGCCGAUCCCUAAAUUUUCUCUCCGGCAAAAGCGAAGUGUGUCACUUGAUGUGCCUGCUUCAGUCUCCGAGAAAGCGGCGCACCCCAUUGCUAGGUCUGCUCCGUCUUCACCCACGAGGGAACCACAGUCUUCUCCAAGGAGUUUCUUUCUCAGUACUGACUCGGCAACUAGGGACCUACGUCGUAUUCUCCAUCUGGAUCUCAGUGACGAUUGAGAAUGGAGGUUCUGAACACUGUAAAUAAACCAACUCUGCAACUUGGGUUAGUGUUAGUUUGUACAAAAGGAGUAAACUUUUUCUGUGUUGCAAGUCUCUGCAAGUUCAUUAUGGCUUCCUGCAUAAGUGGGGGCAAAGAGAAUCGUCAGUUACUGGUUUUCUUCAACAAUCUCCAAAUUUAGCUGCAACAAUUGAUGUAGGUGGUGUGAGUUUCAUCAUGGGUCUUCCUUAUGAAGAGUGGAAAGCGAUGAUAUUCCAGGUAUGGGGCAGCUACUUCAUUCGUGUUUCUGGAGGAGGUGAUUUUAAUCCUUGACGAUCCCUCAGCUGAUCACUGGUUCAUUGCUCUCGCGGAUUCUUCUUCAAUGAUAAGGAUCAUCAGAAACUUCCUUUCUAUUUAUCCAGCAACACUAUAACGUGGUCCUUAAGAUGUGGAUCUUACAAUAUCAAUCAAUGUUUUCAAAUAUUUUUUUGUUCUUUGUUAUUUUCCUGCCAUGUAAAUACUGUAGGGUCGUUGCUUCUGGUAGGAUUUUCUCAAAUUAUAUAAUUUUCUUUACCUUCUCUAUUCCUUCAGUAUGUCUAUUUCCCUUAGGUCUGGUAUCCGUCACUCUCUUCAUUUUACUUCUCACAACAUCUCCAAAUUUCUGACUAGAUGAUACACUUUUAACUCCUGCUUAGUCUCUUCUUCUUUGUUUUGUCCUUGAUUGCCUGAAUUGGCUGCUUAGAUGGUAGUUGAUGCUCAUUCCUGGUUAAUCUUUUCCAUAUACUUAGUCCAACUUUGCCUGCAUUGGUUGCCGAGAUGAAAAGUUCAACCUCCUUUCAUUCUAACUGGUUUUCUUUGCACUGCUAAACUCUCAUUCCUUCGUUGAUGCUGCAAGGGUGUUGCGUUCCCCUUUACCUCUUCUCCAGCUUUUUUAUGAUGGAAAAGUGGGUAGCAGCAUUUACAGGAGGAUGGUUUGUUUUCCACCUCUUCUGCUUUCUAGUUUGUAGUGUCAAUGUGAGUUUGUUUGCUUUCCACCUCUUAGACUUUCUAGUUUGUAGUGUCAAUGUGAGUCCCUCUUGUGCCAUCCUUCUGUAACUCCUUGUGGUCCUCUUGUUUCUGUGAGUGUCUGUCAUUACUUCUUUUGGGUUUGCUCCUGUGAAGGUAGUCAAUCUUUGGAGAUCGCGAAGUAUAUAAGACUUCUCACAAGUUUAUGGGACAGUGCUGACCGUGGGAGCCAACAGAAGGAUCUUCAGGAGGCUGUUUCUCCAUUUCCCACUAGUGUUGUUGUGUAAGAAAUGCUUUCAGUUAUUAAACUCCCUCGAUCUGUUUAUGUACUUUGCAUCUAGUUAUACUGGACCAGAGUUUGUUUGUUUGUUUGUUCGCUUUUCUCAUUAUGAAUUCAGUUUGUGUGUUGUGUUCUUGCUAAAAUAGUAUUGCCUUACUGUUAUAGACUUCUAUUGCAUUUUGUUCA